rfam:Parcubacteria bacterium GW2011_GWC1_34_10 TR50_C0004, whole genome shotgun sequence.
AAUAGGAAAUUCAAGGGCGUAUGGUGGAUGCCUAGACUAGAAAUAGCGAUGAAGGACGUGGCGUGGCGACGAUAUGCUUCGGGGAGGUGCCUAGCAACCUUUGAUCCGGAGAUUUCCGAAUGGGGAAACCCCCUCGCUUUGCGAGGAUGUGCUUCGCACAGAAAUUCCAAAUUCCAAAUAACAAAUCACAAAUAACAAACAAAUUCAAAAUUCCAAUUUCAAAAUCCAAAACUUUUAGUUUAGAUAUUUGAAUUUUGGUCAUUGGAUAUUGUUUGGGAUUUGGUGCUUAGGAUUUAGGAUUUCCGCGCUGCGCGCGGUGGGGUUGUAAGACGUAAACUUCGUAUUUAUACGAGAAAAGUUACAAAAUUAUUCGUUAGAAGAAGCUUCUGGAAAGAAGCACCCUAGAGGGUAAUAGUCCCGUACUUGAAAACGAAUAGUCUUUUUUGUUUACGUUCUUGAGUACCUCGAGACACGAGUAGCUCGGGGGAAUCUGCCGGAACUAACCGGUAAGGCUAAAUAUAUUUCUAGAUCGAUAGUGAACUAGUACCGUGAGGGAAAGGUGAAAAGCAGCCCGGUUAGGGCGGUGAAAUAGACCUGAAACCAUAUGCCUACAAGGAGUCGAUGCGGUACUUCGCACCGAAAAAUGUCUAAUUGACCUAAUUAACCUAAGUACUCUAAAAAAUGCAUAAAUUUAGAAUAAUUAGAAAUUAGAAUAAUUAGAAAUUUCGGUGCGGAGCACCGUUACGGCGUGCCUAUUGAAGAAUGAGCCAACGAGUUAAUGUAUGUGGCUGCCUAAGAGGAAAACCCUCCGAGGCAUAGUGAAAGCGAGCGUUAAUAGCGCGUUUACAGUCGUAUAUAUUAGACCCGAAGCCAAGUGAGCUUGCCAUGGGCAGGGUGAAGUCUCGCGAAAGCGAGAUGGAGGCCCGAACCGGUUGGUCGUGCGAUUCCUUCGGAUGACCUGUGGUAAGAAGUGAAAAGCUAAUCGAACUUGGUAAUAGCUGGUUCUCUCCGAAAGAGCUUUUGGGUUCGCGUCGCGUGUUCCUGUUGGGGGUAGAGCACUGGAAGGUUUAGACAGGGAGCAAUCUCGCUAGACCUAUCAAACUCCGAAUACCAACAGUCAAAAAUGCGGCAGUUAGACGGCGGGGGCUAAGCUCCGUUCGUCAAAAAGGAAACAGCCUAGAUCUCUAUUUAAGGUCCCUAAAUCAUAACUAAGUGCGCUUAAGGAGGUGAAAUUUCUGUGACAAUGAGGAGGUUGGCUUAGAAGCAGCCACCCUUUAAAGAAAGCGUAACAGCUCACUCAUUCAGAGAUUUUGCGCCGAAGAUA